rnacentral:rRNA from 1 species
AACGAACGCUGGCGGCAGGCUUAACACAUGCAAGUCGAACGAUGUAGCAAUACAUAGUGGCGCACGGGUGAGUAACGCGUGGGAAUAUACCAAUCAGUGGGGAAUAACGUUGGGAAACUAACGCUAAUACCGCAUACGCCCGAGAGGGGAAAGAUUUAUCGCUGAUUGAUUAGCCCGCGUGAGAUUAGGUAGUUGGUGGGGUAAUGGCCUACCAAGCCUACGAUCUCUAGCUGGUCUGAGAGGAUGAUCAGCCACACUGGAACUGAGACACGGUCCAGACUCCUACGGGAGGCAGCAGUGGGGAAUAUUGGACAAUGGGCGCAAGCCUGAUCCAGCCAUGCCGCGUGAAUGAUGAAGGCCUUAGGGUUGUAAAGUUCUUUCGCCGAUGAAGAUAAUGACGGUAGUCGGAGAAGAAGCCCCGGCUAACUUCGUGCCAGCAGCCGCCGCCG